rnacentral:snRNA from 1 species
GUGCUCGCUUCGGCAGCACAUAUACAAAAU